rnacentral:rRNA from 1 species
UGCAAGUCGAGCGCGGGAAGCAAGCUGAUCCUCUUCGGAGGUGACGCUUGUGGAACGAGCGGCGGACGGGUGAGUAACACGUGGGCAACCUGCCUGUAAGACUGGGAUAACCCCGGGAAACCGGGGCUAAUACCGGAUAAUACUUUUCAUCACCUGAUGGAAAGUUGAAAGGUGGCUUCUUGCUACCACUUACAGAUGGGCCCGCGGCGCAUUAGCUAGUUGGUGAGGUAACGGCUCACCAAGGCAACGAUGCGUAGCCGACCUGAGAGGGUGAUCGGCCACACUGGGACUGAGACACGGCCCAGACUCCUACGGGAGGCAGCAGUAGGGAAUCUUCCGCAAUGGACGAAAGUCUGACGGAGCAACGCCGCGUGAGUGAUGAAGGUUUUCGGAUCGUAAAGCUCUGUUGUUAGGGAAGAACAAGUGCCGUUCGAAUAGGGCGGCACCUUGACGGUACCUAACCAGAAAGCCCCGGCUAACUACGUGCCAGCAGGCCGCGGUAAUACGUAGGGGGCAAGCAGUGUCYGGAAAUUAUUGRGCGUAAAGCGCGCGCAGGCSGUYCAUUUCAAGUCUGAUGUUGAAAGCSCACGGCUUAACCGUGGAGGGUCAUUGGAAACUGGAGGACUUGAGUACAGAAGAGGAGAGUGGAAUUUCCACGUGUAGCGGUGAAAUGCGUAGAGAUGUGGAGGAACACCAGUGGCGAARGCGACUCUCUGGUCUGUAACUGACGCUGAGGCGCGAAAGCGUGGGGAGCGAACAGGAUUAGAUACCCUGGUAGUCCACGCCGUAAACGAUGAGUGCUAGGUGUUAGGGGGUUUCCGCCCCUUAGUGCUGAAGUUAACGCAUUAAGCACUCCGCCUGGGGAGUACGGCCGCAAGGCUGAAACUCAAAAGAAUUGACGGGGGCCCGCACAAGCGGUGGAGCAUGUGGUUUAAUUCGACGCAACGCGAAGAACCUUACCAGGUCUUGACAUCCUCUGCAAUCGGUAGAGAUACCGAGUUCCCUUCGGGGACAGAGUGACAGGUGGUGCAUGGUUGUCGUCAGCUCGUGUCGUGAGAUGUUGGGUUAAGUCCCGCAACGAGCGCAACCCUUGAUCUUAGUUGCCAGCAUUUAGUUGGGCACUCUAAGGUGACUGCCGGUGACAAACCGGAGGAAGGUGGGGAUGACGUCAAAUCAUCAUGCCCCUUAUGACCUGGGCUACACACGUGCUACAAUGGAUGGAACAAAGGGAAGCAAAACCGCGAGGUCAAGCAAAUCCCAUAAAACCAUUCUCAGUUCGGAUUGCAGGCUGCAACUCGCCUGCAUGAAGCCGGAAUCGCUAGUAAUCGCGGAUCAGCAUGCCGCGGUGAAUACGUUCCCGGGCCUUGUACACACCGCCCGUCACACCACGAGAGUUGGUAACACCCGAAGUCGGUGAGGUAACCUUUUGGAGCCAGCCGCCGAAGGUGGGACCAAUGAUUGGGGUGAAGUCGU